rnacentral:rRNA from 1 species
AGUGAACGCUGGCGGUAGGCCUAACACAUGCAAGUCGAACAGCAGCACAGUAAGAGCUUGCUCUUACGGGUGGCGAGUGGCGGACGGGUGAGGAAUACAUCGGAAUCUACUUUUUCGUGGGGGAUAACGUAGGGAAACUUACGCUAAUACCGCAUACGACCUACGGGUGAAAGCAGGGGAUCUUCGGACCUUGCGCGAUUGAAUGAGCCGAUGUCGGAUUAGCUAGUUGGCGGGGUAAAGGCCCACCAAGGCGACGAUCCGUAGCUGGUCUGAGAGGAUGAUCAGCCACACUGGAACUGAGACACGGUCCAGACUCCUACGGGAGGCAGCAGUGGGGAAUAUUGGACAAUGGGCGCAAGCCUGAUCCAGCCAUACCGCGUGGGUGAAGAAGGCCUUCGGGUUGUAAAGCCCUUUUGUUGGGAAAGAAAAGCAGCAGGUUAAUACCCCGCUAUUCUGACGGUACCCAAAGAAUAAGCACCGGCUAACUUCGUG